GUUCUCGUAGUUAAAGCUUUAUAACAGCGGCUUUUCAGGCCGUAGAUCCUGGAGAAAAGCCGGGCGAGAACU
rnacentral:tRNA from 1 species